UUACUACUUUUAAAUAACUAAAUAAAAUUAUUAUUGUUUGUUUAUAUUAAGACCUAACAUCUAUUUGUUUAUGAUAGAUGUUAUAUUGAUCGAAUCGCAAUGUUAUAAUAUUUAUACUUUUAGUGCAGUCAGUGCCAAUCAAAAAAUAUGAGGUUCAAAUAUUUAUAUAAUGGAUCUUCAGUUUUAGUGUAGGCUUUUAGUGUAAACUAAAAAAUAUUUUUAAAAGUUUAAGUAUUAUUCAUACUCCUAUAUGAUAACCACUAAAGAGAAAAUAAAUUUACUUACCUCUGAUAUGAUAGAUUAUUAUAUUGUAUCAUUUAUUUUCUCUUUAGUAGAAAAGUUAACGUGGUUCGAACAAUAAUAUAGUUAUAUUACAUAGUUAUAUUAUAUUUCUAAAAUCUGCGCAAACAUUUUUUUUAUUGUUUAUUAAGUUUUGCAUGUUUAAUUUCAUUUAAUAUUUUAUCUACAGUCCAGUCAGUUGCAACAAUAAUUAAAGCAACAGGAAACAGCCAAGUACACAUGCAAGUGAUUGUUAUGAGGAUUGCAAAAGUUUUAAAUAUCAGAAACUGAAGAAGGUAUUGAUAAUCAGCAGAUAAUAAAAAAAGCAAAAGUACUGAUUAUUCAAAUCUUUUAAAGUUAAACCAUCACCACUUCCACAGCCACCUUGUCUCAAGCAUUCAAUCACAUUCUAAGAUAUCUUUAUUGAAAUUAAGUGUGACUACUUUACCAAAAGACUCUAGAAUGGACCAAUCAAUGAAACUGUCGGUAUCUCCACAACUUUUCAAUUAAAUAGAAAGUUUCAAUCAAACAGGAUACUGAGUGUGCCUACUGCUCCUCAAGACAAUGGAUAAUGGGAGUUAUCAAACUUGCGAUAACUACAAGUUUUUUUAAUAAGUAAAAAGAUUGUAUGACUUCGGUAUCCGCAAUAUGGUAUCGUGCAUUGGUUCUUAUCUUAGAAUGGCUCCCUUCCGUAUAGGUGAAAAUAAGAAAGGUUAUCAGUUCAAGCAAAGAUGACAAUGAUCAUUAUGGAGCCGAUCAUGGUGACGAAUACGAUAAUGCAUAUAAUGAUAAAUAAAAUAAUUUUACUUGUAUUUUAGACUUAUAUAAAUAAAAAAUUAUCUGUUUAAUGUUUAA